AGAGUUUGAUCCUGGCUCAGGACGAACGCUGGCGGCGUGCCUAAUACAUGCAAGUCGAACGCUUUUUCUUUCACCGGAGCUUGCUCCACCGAAAGAAAAGGAGUGGCGAACGGGUGAGUAACACGUGGGUAACCUGCCCAUCAGAAGGGGAUAACACUUGGAAACAGGUGCUAAUACCGUAUAACAGUAGAAACCGCAUGGUUUCUAUUUGAAAGGCGCUUUUGCGUCACUGAUGGAUGGACCCGCGGUGCAUUAGCUAGUUGGUGAGGUAACGGCUCACCAAGGCAACGAUGCAUAGCCGACCUGAGAGGGUGAUCGGCCACAUUGGGACUGAGACACGGCCCAAACUCCUACGGGAGGCAGCAGUAGGGAAUCUUCGGCAAUGGACGAAAGUCUGACCGAGCAACGCCGCGUGAGUGAAGAAGGUUUUCGGAACGUAAAACUCUGUUGCUAGAGAAGAACAAGGAUGAGAGUAAAACGUUCAUCCCUUGACGGUAUCUAACCAGAAAGCCACGGCUAACUACGUGCCAGCAGCCGCGGUAAUACGUAGGUGGCAAGCGUUGUCCGGAUUUAUUGGGCGUAAAGCGAGCGCAGGCGGUUUCUUAAGUCUGAUGUGAAAGCCCCCGGCUCAACCGGGGAGGGUCAUUGGAAACUGGGAAACUUGAGUGCAGAAGAGGAGAGUGGAAUUCCAUGUGUAGCGGUGAAAUGCGUAGAUAUAUGGAGGAACACCAGUGGCGAAGGCGGCUCUCUGGUCUGUAACUGACGCUGAGGCUCGAAAGCGUGGGGAGCAAACAGGAUUAGAUACCCUGGUAGUCC
rnacentral:rRNA from 1 species